rnacentral:lncRNA from 1 species
UAUAUAUAUAUAUAUAUAUAUAUAUAUUUAUAUAUAUUUAUAUUCACACAUAAUAAUAUGUAUAUUAUUUAAAUAUAUGAUAAUAUAUUUAAAUAUACGUACAUAUACAUAUAAAAUUAUAUGUUGAUAUGAAUAAAUAUUUAUAUAUAUAUAUAUAUAUAUUUAUAUAUAUUAUAUUAUAUAUGUGCAUAAUUAAAUAUGUAUAUUUAUAUGACUAUAUAAUAUUAUAUAUACAUCGAUAUAUCACACCCCGAGUUUCGUAAAAUACACCCCCUUAUUUUGGGAACCCCUUCUUUCUGAAAAAGCACCCCGUAUUUGUGGCACCUCCUUUUUCUUAACGAACACCCCAGUAUUUAUUCCUGUAUUUCUCGCACCCCCUCUUUCUCAAUAAACACACCCCCUUAUUUUUUACACCCACAGUUUUUGUAAAACGCAACCCCGUAUUUAUUGCACCCCCCAGUUUAGUCAAAUACACCCCUUAUUUUUGGCUCCCCCUUAUAUAUAAUAAGCGUAAAAUUAAUCUUAUCCAAAAUUUUGUUUCUCGCUAUUUUUGUCGGCAACAUCAAUUAUUUUUAUUUUAACUCCAAUUUAAUUAUUUUAAGUCAAUAAUACUUAUUUUAAUAAAAUUAAUCUUUAUUAUUUUAGUUAUUGUAUUUUUGAAUAAGAUUUCAUAUUUUUCUAAUUUAAAAAUCAUUAAAUUAAAAAUUUUCUACAUUUUUCAAUUAACAUUUUUAUUAUACGGUAUAAAGUGAGACACCAUAUAGUGGAAUGCAAAAGUAAUAACAGCCCAAUCUAACUACACCAUAUAAUAGUUGUAAUACACUCCAACUGACAUAUUCAAUUCUAACAAAUUCUAUUACCAAAGUCUUAUAAAUAAUAUAAAUAAUUAUCAGUACGUGUGUGUACUGAAGUUUUUUAUUAAUAAUUAUUUAGUUAGCAAGACUCAAAAAAUCUAAAACUAAUAUAAAUAUCAGGUACGUGUCUAUUCAAUUCAUUUUGCUGCUGACCUUUUGUUUGCUGACCUUUUGUUUUCCUUUUACGUGUCUAUAUAUAUUUCUCCAUUUCUCCAUUUCCUUUUACAUAAUGGAGAAUAUGGAGCGUGCAGAGCUGAAGAUGAAAGUCGAAGAGCUUGAAGUAGAAGUUGCAGAGUUGAAGAAUAUUAUAAAACUGCUAAGGAUUGUGAUAAAAAACAAUGAAAGUAAGAUAGCUCUUCUUGAAAAGCACAAGGAGGAGCGGGCCGCGUUACUUCAUUCUGCACUAGAAAUGAUGAUGGGGUGUGGGGAAGUAAGAAAGGAGAGGGAAAGUAAAUGAUAUAUAUUCUUUACAAGUUUCUCUAUGUAUUAUUUUACCAUGGAAAAAUUGCUCUGAUUGUAACAAAGUUUAAGGAUCUAAUUAAUCUAUAUUUAUCUCAGUUUCUUCUUAUUUUUUUUUGUUUUGAUGUGUUAAAUCUAAUUAAUAUAUGAGAUUAAUAACAUGAUGGCAUGGAGAGAUUCAACUAAACGAAAUAAAUCAUCAGUACACACAUGUACUUGGCUCUAUCAGUCUCCACUGGAUAUCUAUGUGUGUACACACAUGUACACACAUAUCUGCAACUUCAGGCUCCACUGGAUUAUCAGGAUUUGGAUCCUGAUAAUCCUUGUCACUAAUGUUUUCUCUGCUUUUUGGCUUUUAUGGUCUCUUGGUUCAUUUGAGAAAGAAGAGUGUCUGGUUGCUUCCGAUUUCGCCUGGGAUAUCGCUUGUUACCCUCCUCCUCAACCAGCUCUCUUCCAGCCACUAUGGGAGGUACAACUGUGUUUUCAACCAGCUCUUUUCUUCCAGCCACUAUGGGAUCAACCAGCUCUCUUGGUUUAUGUUUGACAGUCUCUGGAGGCUCCUUUGUAUUCAUGGGUUCAUCCUUAGUCCCCUCAGGCUGUUCAGGCCCCAUUGUAUUCUUGAGUUUCCCCGCAGUCCCCUCAGUCUCCACUUCAUUUUUGUCCACAGGCCCCUCAGGCUGUUCAGUCCCCAGUGUAUUCUUGAGUUGCUUUGCAGUCUCCUCAAGCUCCAUUACACUCUCCACAGGCUCCUUAGGCUUAUCCAGAUUUUGAUGAACAGACAUCUCCCCACGUUGUUCAGGCCCCAAUACAUUCACGGGUUGCUCCGCAGAUGGCUCCGCAAUUUGAGGAUGAACAGUUACAAUGUUCGAAGUUUUUGGAGUGGAACUUAGGUUAAUCAGCAGAGCUUCUGGCUCUGUGUAUCUGCAGGCAUCCUUCAUUGAAAGAGCUUCAAUUAACCUCCAGUCAUCUCUAUCAUCUAUUCCCUGUUGAUGUUACAAGGAACAAACAGAAAAUAGAUUAAUAUUUUCUAAAGGACAAUAGAUUGCUACUUAUGUAAUAUGAAUUUACCAAAUAUUGAGUUUUCAAGUCUUCAACAAGACCAAAAUCAUUGAUUUCCGAGAGGUAAUCACCCUCCAAGGAUCCCUCUAGUACCUGUCUUGCUUGCCCGAUUACAUGCGCAAGCAUGACACCUGCAUAGCUUAAAAUAUAAAAAAUUAGUCAAGAAGGAAUAUUACACACACAUGGGGCUUUAAUUUGCCUAAACUCACCCUCACAAGCUUUCUGAAAAAGUGGCGUGUGGUGGCCAUGGUCAAGUCCAUGGUCAAGUUGAGAACAAAGACCACAUUUAUUGAUCUAAAAAACAUAUAAAAAAACCUUAGACAUAUUAGGAAAGCCUUACUUAUCACAAGAGAGAGAGAGAGAGAGAGAGAGAGAGGAAAGCUGAUACUUACGUCUUCGGAGUUCAGUUCAUCAAGCUUCAAUUUCCAUAUUUCUUUCUUCCUCCUAAUCACCGGGUAUUUAUCUGCCGGUACUAGAGCUGACUUAAGUUUCAUGUCCUCGAGAACCAACUUCGGAAUUUUAUCAUAAAUGAGUGCCUAACACAGUCAGGAACACAAUCAAACUUGAUAAAUGAAAAAACAUUGAAAGUUGUAUAUUUGUGCAAUCAUAGCAUGGUAAUACUCUAGAAAAACAUAAGAGCACGCACAAAAAAGAAUACCUGAAAAACAGUACUGCAAGCACUAAAUGUCCGAGUGUUCUUCUUAACAGCCUCAUAAAUUCUGUCAAGUAUUGCUUGAGCCCAAUUAAUUGAUUCAAAUGUGGACGCGUCAACGCAAUACUUGUAGUUCCCACUCCUGAUGUAUGCAUUUUCGCUAGAUGGAAGGAAAAUCUGGUCAACCACAAACAAGCGAACAAGCUGCUUGUAUUGGUCUUUCUGUUCAUCCGUUUCCACAGGCAUGCGCCUCAAAAUCUCUAUCAAGGAGUGACAACUCAAUUCCCUCUUAAUCCUGUUUUUGUGCUUCUCCUUGUCGUUUCUAUCUUUUUUCUCCUUUUUCUCAUUCUUAGAAACAUACAACUGUUUUAAACUAUCCACAAAAGGUGGAAGCCGCAUCAUUUUAUCCUUCCCCUGCAUCUCAAAUUCCCUGAUUGGCUUACCGGUAUGGUUGAUUGAUAGUGAAUCUGCAACCCGGUGUGCACAAAAACUGAUUUCUAUUCCCUCUUUGAUCUUGAAGAUACCUCUUUCUUGAUCAAAAAAAUCACAAAAUAAUUGAAUGAGGGCAGCGGAGCAGCCACUCCCCUCCUUCACUCCCAAUAGUUUGUAAAUCUGGGAAUCUUUAAAGAGUUCUCUUUUAAGAGAAACAGCCUCCUCAUGUUGAGCAUCAAGUACAUCAGCUUCUGAUUGUAUGGUAGAAUCAUGUGUCUGAAAUAUUUUUUUGAUGCUUAUUAGCCGUCCUACUAAAGUAGCUAACUUUUCCACAUGAGGCUGUGCAUCUUGUACAUCAUGCGGCUGUGCAUCUUGUACAUUAGAUUCAUUAUGCUUGAGUUCUUUAGACAAAUCCAUGUCGAUGUCCCUGUCAUAAUUAUCUGAACCAUGUUAAUAACCAGACCAAAACCCCUUACUUACGAGUAGUUCGCUACUAUUUAUACUAGCAGUCUCGUAGUAUAAAAUGGGGGGGUGUUUACCUAAAUACUCGGGGUGUAAUGAAUAUGGGUGUUCAAUCAGAAACACCCAAUAUUCAGCACACCCCAGUUUUUAAGGAAACACCCCAUAUUCCUUACAACCCCAGAUUUCCCCCACCACAAUUGUUAUACAAGGGAGAUAUCUGAACGUAAAAGAACCACAAAUUCGGGUGAUGAUAUCUGAACGUAAAAGAUUUAGCCAAACACCAAUAUAUUUCUAACACCCCCAUGUUACAAAGCACCCCAAUAUUAAGAACACCCCGAGUUUAAUGUAAAGCACCCCGAUAUUCAGAACACCCCCAUUUUACUGAAACACCCCGCUAUUUCUAACACCCAAAGUUUACUGUUUGACACCCAAAUAUAUUUUGCACCCCCAGUUUAUGUCAAAACACCCAUAUAUUCCGUAAAUAAAGAUUGGGGUGCUGUAGAAAAACAGGGGGUUCCGUAAAUAUUUGGGUGUCCUUUCCAAAUUAAGAGGUGCUAUAAAAAUUGGGGUGUCAGCAAAAAUAUAUGGGCCAAAAGGAAAUGGGUCUCCUCCAAAAUAUAAAUAUAAGGGGUGCUUUUCGUGUUGUUCCGUGUCAUGUUAGUAAUAAAAAUAUAAUAAUAAAAAUUAAGACAAUAAAAAAUUAUACUAUCUUAUAAACUUAUUAUUUCGAUUUAUAAUUAAAUGUUACAUUCCUUACUAGUAGGGAUGCAUACGAGUCGGAUUUAGGGCUGUUAAUGAAACGAAUAUUUAAUGAAAUAUUCGGUAUUCGAAUUCGUUUAAUAUUAUUCGUGUUCGUUUAUUAAUAAAUACAAAUACGAAUUCAAAUCUUAAAAAAAUAUUCGGUUUGUUAACAAAUACAAAUUCGAAUAGAUAAAUAUUUGUAUUCGCUAUUCGCUUAAUUAUUCGGAAAUUAAAUAUUAUAUAUAUAUUAUUUAAUAUUAUAUAGAAACAUGUUUAUUGUGUACAGGUCUUACAUUACACCCCCACAUACUUCGAUUUAUAAUUAAAUAUGCUUUUAAUAUAUAGGGGUGUUCUAUGUCAUGUUUUUCCUACAUUACCCAAAUAAAUUUCAAUAGGUUUCAACUUUUAAUUAGUCAUAUUUGUUUUUUCAAUUUUGAACUUCAAAUUAUAUAUAUGCUACUUCCAAUUUCUAAAUUUGUAAUUUUUUAAUAUGAUUUUACAAGAGUAUUUGGAUUUGGAGCUUUUGGAUUUGGGGUUAUUCGGUUUGGAUUUGGGCCUUUUUGAUUUGGUCUUCGAUUUGUAGUUAUUACCUCAUUUUCGUGAGAUUCAGGUUAUAUAUUAGAUAAUAUCCUUUAUACGAUUUUAUCGCAACAGUGUUUUUGAUAAAGAAGCCAGGUUUUCUAUUUGUUUGAUUUUUGCGUGAUAAGUUGGUAGUGACCGCGAGUUAUGAUAUAGAGUUAGCGGAGGUAUUAAAAAAUUCGGGAAUCUGGUCCAGUUUUUAUGGAAACGCCCCAUAUUAAAGAACACCCCUAUAUAAAGUACACCCCCAGUUGUUUAAAGAACACCCCUAUAUAAAGUACACCCCAACUUUGUAGCUGAACACCCCUAUAUGAAAAACACCCCAACUUUCUUUUCUAACACCCAUAUAUUUGUUACACCCCCAGUUUACAGGAUAACACCCCUAUAUUAUAUACACCCCCAGUGUAUCCGAUAACACCCCUAUAUACAGUACACCCCCAGUUUAUUAAAGAACACCCCUAUAUAAAGUACACCCCAACUUUGUAGCUGAACACCCCUAUAUUAGAAACACCCCAACUUUCAUUUCCAACACCCAUAUAUUUGUUACACCCCCAGUUUUUUAAGGAACACCCCUAUAAAAAUUACACCCCAACUUUGUAGCUGAACACCCCUGUAGAUAUACUCAAAAGCAUAAAAAAUUACAGAAGUGCAAACAUACAAAUGAAAAGAAGAAACAUACUACUAAGAACAGGCUAACAUACAUAAUACUGCAUAGACAUCAGAACAUUGGCCGAGCCAUCAGAACAUUCAUAUACUAACUUAGUUUUUCAACACAACAUUCCAGCAAUCAUUUAACCAUAUUUCUCCACGUCAUUCAACCGGUCACCCAUCAUUUUCUUCAAUUCUUUCAUAGCCUCCAAGUUUGCCUUGGUAAAUUCUUCAUGUUCCGCUCUCCUGGCCUUCUUCUCUCGCUUCUGCCUCUUCUUCUCCAACUUGAUAAACUCUUCGAGUUUAUUACUCAGUUGGUCAUGAUCUUCCCACAGCUUUUUAGUCUCCUCCUGCAACUUUUCAAUUUUAGCAAGUUUCUUUUCAAAUUUAGCUAAUUUUCUUCUUUGAAUAAGAACAUUAGCACCACAAAUCAAAGCGAUGCAGGAUAAAACGCUAUAAAACGCUACACGAUAUAGCGUUUUAAGGGUAAAACGUCACACGAUCUAGCGUUUUAGGGUCCAAAACGCUAGAUCAUGUAGCAUUUUGGACCGUUUUUCAGUCCAAAACGCAAGAUGAUCCGGCGUUUUCUUCCAAAACUCAAAACGCCGGAUUAUCUAGCGCCACUAAAUGGUAUUUGGGGCCAUCUUUUUCAAGAUUGGUAUUUUGGGCAUUUUUCUUAAUUUUUGUGACAUUGGGGACCGUCUUUCGAAAACUUUCUGGGUAUCUACCAAGAUAUUAAUAUUAAGAUCUAGCAAGAUCUUUAGUAUUUAUCUUUCAGUCACCUCCGUCACAGGCCAGAGGCUACACUGCAGGGGCUACGGCAGAGAGGGAUGAUGAUGGGUGGUGCUUUGCUAUUAAUUUUGAUUGGAGACCUAUUAAUUCAGAUAUCAAAUUGUCUAAAGAAGGUUAUUUCUUCAACUUCUCUCCCCUUGUUCUUCUCUCCCCCUUUUACAAUGUCUUUAAGCGAAAUAACGGAUGCUUUGAUUAAUCGUCUUACAUCCGUUACCGACUCUUAUCCGGAAGUUUUAUCCUGCAUCGCUUUGAUUUGUGGUGCUAAUGUUCUUAUUCAAAGAAGAAAAUUAGCUAAAUUUGAAAAGAAACUUGCUAAAAUUGAAAAGUUGCAGGAGGAGACUAAAAAGCUGCGGGAAGAUCAUGACCAACUGAGUAAUAAACUCGAAGAGUUUAUCAAGUUGGAGAAGAAGAGGCAGAAGCGAGAGAAGAAGGCCAGGAGAGCGGAACAUGAAGAAUUUACCAAGGCAAACUUGGAGGCUAUGAAAGAAUUGAAGAAAAUGAUGGGUGACCGGUUGAAUGACGUGGAGAAAUAUGGUUAAAUGAUUGCUGGAAUGUUGUGUUGAAAAACUAAGUUAGUAUAUGAAUGUUCUGAUGGCUCGGCCAAUGUUCUGAUGUCUAUGCAGUAUUAUGUAUGUUAGCCUGUUCUUAGUAGUAUGUUUCUUCUUUUCAUUUGUAUGUUUGCACUUCUGUAAUUUUUUAUGCUUUUGAGUAUAUCUACAGGGGUGUUCAGCUACAAAGUUGGGGUGUAAUUUUUAUAGGGGUGUUCCUUAAAAAACUGGGGGUGUAACAAAUAUAUGGGUGUUGGAAAUGAAAGUUGGGGUGUUUCUAAUAUAGGGGUGUUCAGCUACAAAGUUGGGGUGUACUUUAUAUAGGGGUGUUCUUUAAUAAACUGGGGGUGUACUUUAUAUAGGGGUGUUAUCGGAUACACUGGGGGUGUAUAUAAUAUAGGGGUGUUAUCCUGUAAACUGGGGGUGUAACAAAUAUAUGGGUGUUAGAAAAGAAAGUUGGGGUGUUUUUCAUAUAGGGGUGUUCAGCUACAAAGUUGGGGUGUACUUUAUAUAGGGGUGUUCUUUAAACAACUGGGGGUGUACUUUAUAUAGGGGUGUUCUUUAAUAUGGGGCGUUUCCAUAAAAACUGGACCAGAUUCCCGAAUUUUUUAAUACCUCCGCUAACUCUAUAUCAUAACUCGCGGUCACUACCAACUUAUCACGCAAAAAUCAAACAAAUAGAAAACCUGGCUUCUUUAUCAAAAACACUGUUGCGAUAAAAUCGUAUAAAGGAUAUUAUCUAAUAUAUAACCUGAAUCUCACGAAAAUGAGGUAAUAACUACAAAUCGAAGACCAAAUCAAAAAGGCCCAAAUCCAAACCGAAUAACCCCAAAUCCAAAAGCUCCAAAUCCAAAUACUCUUGUAAAAUCAUAUUAAAAAAUUACAAAUUUAGAAAUUGGAAGUAGCAUAUAUAUAAUUUGAAGUUCAAAAUUGAAAAAACAAAUAUGACUAAUUAAAAGUUGAAACCUAUUGAAAUUUAUUUGGGUAAUGUAGGAAAAACAUGACAUAGAACACCCCUAUAUAUUAAAAGCAUAUUUAAUUAUAAAUCGAAGUAUGUGGGGGUGUAAUGUAAGACCUGUACACAAUAAACAUGUUUCUAUAUAAUAUUAAAUAAUAUAUAUAUAAUAUUUAAUUUCCGAAUAAUUAAGCGAAUAGCGAAUACAAAUAUUUAUCUAUUCGAAUUUGUAUUUGUUAACAAACCGAAUAUUUUUUUAAGAUUUGAAUUCGUAUUUGUAUUUAUUAAUAAACGAACACGAAUAAUAUUAAACGAAUUCGAAUACCGAAUAUUUCAUUAAAUAUUCGUUUCAUUAACAGCCCUAAAUCCGACUCGUAUGCAUCCCUACUAGUAAGGAAUGUAACAUUUAAUUAUAAAUCGAAAUAAUAAGUUUAUAAGAUAGUAUAAUUUUUUAUUGUCUUAAUUUUUAUUAUUAUAUUUUUAUUACUAACAUGACACGGAACAACACGAAAAGCACCCCUUAUAUUUAUAUUUUGGAGGAGACCCAUUUCCUUUUGGCCCAUAUAUUUUUGCUGACACCCCAAUUUUUAUAGCACCUCUUAAUUUGGAAAGGACACCCAAAUAUUUACGGAACCCCCUGUUUUUCUACAGCACCCCAAUCUUUAUUUACGGAAUAUAUGGGUGUUUUGACAUAAACUGGGGGUGCAAAAUAUAUUUGGGUGUCAAACAGUAAACUUUGGGUGUUAGAAAUAGCGGGGUGUUUCAGUAAAAUGGGGGUGUUCUGAAUAUCGGGGUGCUUUACAUUAAACUCGGGGUGUUCUUAAUAUUGGGGUGCUUUGUAACAUGGGGGUGUUAGAAAUAUAUUGGUGUUUGGCUAAAUCUUUUACGUUCAGAUAUCAUCACCCGAAUUUGUGGUUCUUUUACGUUCAGAUAUCUCCCUUGUAUAACAAUUGUGGUGGGGGAAAUCUGGGGUUGUAAGGAAUAUGGGGUGUUUCCUUAAAAACUGGGGUGUGCUGAAUAUUGGGUGUUUCUGAUUGAACACCCAUAUUCAUUACACCCCGAGUAUUUAGGUAAACACCCCCCCAUUUUAUACUACGAGACUGCUAGUAUAAAUAGUAGCGAACUACUCGUAAGUAAGGGGUUUUGGUCUGGUUAUUAACAUGGUUCAGAUAAUUAUGACAGGGACAUCGACAUGGAUUUGUCUAAAGAACUCAAGCAUAAUGAAUCUAAUGUACAAGAUGCACAGCCGCAUGAUGUACAAGAUGCACAGCCUCAUGUGGAAAAGUUAGCUACUUUAGUAGGACGGCUAAUAAGCAUCAAAAAAAUAUUUCAGACACAUGAUUCUACCAUACAAUCAGAAGCUGAUGUACUUGAUGCUCAACAUGAGGAGGCUGUUUCUCUUAAAAGAGAACUCUUUAAAGAUUCCCAGAUUUACAAACUAUUGGGAGUGAAGGAGGGGAGUGGCUGCUCCGCUGCCCUCAUUCAAUUAUUUUGUGAUUUUUUUGAUCAAGAAAGAGGUAUCUUCAAGAUCAAAGAGGGAAUAGAAAUCAGUUUUUGUGCACACCGGGUUGCAGAUUCACUAUCAAUCAACCAUACCGGUAAGCCAAUCAGGGAAUUUGAGAUGCAGGGGAAGGAUAAAAUGAUGCGGCUUCCACCUUUUGUGGAUAGUUUAAAACAGUUGUAUGUUUCUAAGAAUGAGAAAAAGGAGAAAAAAGAUAGAAACGACAAGGAGAAGCACAAAAACAGGAUUAAGAGGGAAUUGAGUUGUCACUCCUUGAUAGAGAUUUUGAGGCGCAUGCCUGUGGAAACGGAUGAACAGAAAGACCAAUACAAGCAGCUUGUUCGCUUGUUUGUGGUUGACCAGAUUUUCCUUCCAUCUAGCGAAAAUGCAUACAUCAGGAGUGGGAACUACAAGUAUUGCGUUGACGCGUCCACAUUUGAAUCAAUUAAUUGGGCUCAAGCAAUACUUGACAGAAUUUAUGAGGCUGUUAAGAAGAACACUCGGACAUUUAGUGCUUGCAGUACUGUUUUUCAGGUAUUCUUUUUUGUGCGUGCUCUUAUGUUUUUCUAGAGUAUUACCAUGCUAUGAUUGCACAAAUAUACAACUUUCAAUGUUUUUUCAUUUAUCAAGUUUGAUUGUGUUCCUGACUGUGUUAGGCACUCAUUUAUGAUAAAAUUCCGAAGUUGGUUCUCGAGGACAUGAAACUUAAGUCAGCUCUAGUACCGGCAGAUAAAUACCCGGUGAUUAGGAGGAAGAAAGAAAUAUGGAAAUUGAAGCUUGAUGAACUGAACUCCGAAGACGUAAGUAUCAGCUUUCCUCUCUCUCUCUCUCUCUCUCUCUCUCUUGUGAUAAGUAAGGCUUUCCUAAUAUGUCUAAGGUUUUUUUAUAUGUUUUUUAGAUCAAUAAAUGUGGUCUUUGUUCUCAACUUGACCAUGGACUUGACCAUGGCCACCACACGCCACUUUUUCAGAAAGCUUGUGAGGGUGAGUUUAGGCAAAUUAAAGCCCCAUGUGUGUGUAAUAUUCCUUCUUGACUAAUUUUUUAUAUUUUAAGCUAUGCAGGUGUCAUGCUUGCGCAUGUAAUCGGGCAAGCAAGACAGGUACUAGAGGGAUCCUUGGAGGGUGAUUACCUCUCGGAAAUCAAUGAUUUUGGUCUUGUUGAAGACUUGAAAACUCAAUAUUUGGUAAAUUCAUAUUACAUAAGUAGCAAUCUAUUGUCCUUUAGAAAAUAUUAAUCUAUUUUCUGUUUGUUCCUUGUAACAUCAACAGGGAAUAGAUGAUAGAGAUGACUGGAGGUUAAUUGAAGCUCUUUCAAUGAAGGAUGCCUGCAGAUACACAGAGCCAGAAGCUCUGCUGAUUAACCUAAGUUCCACUCCAAAAACUUCGAACAUUGUAACUGUUCGUCCUCAAAUUGCGGAGCCAUCUGCGGAGCAACCCGUGAAUGUAUUGGGGCCUGAACAACGUGGGGAGAUGUCUGUUCAUCAAAAUCUGGAUAAGCCUAAGGAGCCUGUGGAGAGUGUAAUGGAGCUUGAGGAGACUGCAAAGCAACUCAAGAAUACACUGGGGACUGAACAGCCUGAGGGGCCUGUGGACAAAAAUGAAGUGGAGACUGAGGGGACUGCGGGGAAACUCAAGAAUACAAUGGGGCCUGAACAGCCUGAGGGGACUAAGGAUGAACCCAUGAAUACAAAGGAGCCUCCGGAGACUGUCAAACAUAAACAUUCUGUGUUUGCACAUUAUCUCAGACGAUCAUCUCGGAUUCAAAAGCAAGGAACCCUGCUUGAUGAAUCGAACAAACAGGAUGACGCUGAAAGAGGCCGAAGGAAGAGAGAGCAAAACGAAAUCCUGAUAGAGCAAAAAAGGAAACGGUCAAAGUCUGUUGAUGAUUCAAGCUAUUUCAAAAAAACUCUCAUCCUUGAUAUAAAUGGCAUUCUUGCUGAUAUCGUUCCAGAAAAUGUGGUGACGUCCUCACGUACAUCUAAGCAAUACAAGAUACUGAAAAAUAAAGUAGGUAAAAAUUAUAUGUAAACUUUUCUAAUCAAGUCAAAUCAACUUUUUGAUGUGCUGAUUUUAACUUAGCUACCCUUUUUUGUUAGUUUUUAAGAGGCCUCACGUUGAUGAUUUUCUGAAAUUCUGCUUUGAGAGAUUUAACGUAGGCGUAUGGUCAUCGAGAUUAAAGUACGCGUCCACCCUUCCCUUGUAAUUUGGAUAUUUUCAUGUCUAUGGAAUAUACACUUAUGUAUUUAACUUUUUAAUUUGUUUACAACAUUACUGUAGGCGUAAUUUGGAUCCAGUUAUUGACUAUGUUUUCGGAAAUAAUUACAAGUCAAAGUUGGCUUUUCAAUGGGUAGGUUGUUUACAUGUUUGUUUCCUCCAUUUUUUUUCCAGGAUAUUUGUAAUCUCAAGCUAUUCAGAUUUAUCAUCCCGAAAAUAUGUUGCAAAUUGUUUUUGCAGGAUCAGGAACAUUGUACUAAUACAGGUCUCAAAGUCGCGGGGAAUAAUCAUAAACCUUUGUUCCUAAAGGAAAUUAAAAAACUCUGGGAGGAUCCUGAGCUUAGAAAGGUUAUUGGGGAUCUUAAUGAAACUAACACACUAUUGAUAGAUGACUCACCCUAUAAAGCCCAAAAAAACCCUGUAAGUUCUAUUAUGUUCAGUUUAUUGUUCUUUCCCUGCAUGUUGUGUUUUUAGUUACAUCAUCGUAGUUGUCGUAACCCGACUAUCUUAAAUUGAUCAUUAGCUAAUUAAUUCCUUAUAUUCGUUUGUGUUUUUAGUUACAUCAUCGUAGUUGUAAUCCGACUAUCUUAAAUUGAUCAUUAGCUAAUUAAUUCCUAUUUGUAUGUGUUUUCAUCUUUCAGCCAAACACAUCAAUUUUUCCGCAUACAUACAAGUACAAUAGUUCGGACGAUCAUUUACUAGGCAAGUUUGUGUUGCCAGAUAUUCUUCUCAUUGAAUGACUAGAUAUGUCUAUGAUCCAUCCCUAUUGUGGCAUUGUGUAGCCUGAUAUCUAUCUUAUGCAGAUUAUAGUUUAAUGAAUGAUUGUCUCCUGUUUGCUUCUAAUUGCAGAAGAUGGGGGGGAUCUUCAAUUGUACCUAGAAAAACUAUCCUCAGCUCCUAAUGUCCAGGAAUUUGUUAAGAAAAACAGUUUAUUCUCACAGGAGUCAGAUAUUCUCACAGGUACAGAUUAAAUGUGCACUCAGGAGCAGACUAUUUGCAUUUAGGAGCAGAGUCUACGAUAUACGUUAAGCCUCUUCAUCGUAUUGUAUUGUGUUUUAUCUAAACAUCUUUGCUCAAUCGAUUAAAUCAAACACCACUAUGAGUAAUCAACCCGAAUCAUCCGACUCGUAAGCACUCUCUCCGAUCUUCAAUUCGAUUUGAUUAGAUUUAAUCGUGUGUUUUGUGUUUACCAAUGUGUUUUUUCUUGAGCGCAAGAAGGCAGCGAAUUGUUUGGUGUCGUAUGUAAAGGUUGAAUCUUUUUGUAUUUCUUUGAUGGUAUUGUUGGUUUUUGAAGUUGGAGUUUUGGUUUUGUGUUUGAUUUAGCUAGGAUUUGUAAAAGAUGGGUUUUGAUUGGUAUGUUUUGGUAAUGGUGUGUAGGGUUGAUUUGAUUGGUUUAUGUGGCAUAUCCACCUCUUAUUGCAUCUUUUUGUAGACUUUGAUCUCGUAAAUUCGAUGGUUUCUAAUCAGAGGUUUACAUACAUAGUAUGGAUGAUGCUUUAAGAAGUGCUUAAGUUAUGAAAGUAUAUAGACUGAGCUGUCUUAUACUGUUUAGUAACUAUUAAAUGAAUCCGUUUAACCAUCUCAUAUAGGAUCUUAUCACUCCUUUCUUUGAAUUCGUAUAUUUAUUUCUGGGAAAAAAGCUAAUUGAAUAGUGAAAUUAGCUUGAAACCUGCUCUUGAGAACAGGUUUUGAGAGCAGGAGAGGUUUAAGUUGUUCCUAACUGGAAACCUGCUCUUGAGAACAGGUUUUGAGAGCUUCCUAAUUGUAAAUGAAAAUAGGUCAUGUAGAGUACAAAAUAUACACACAUAAAGUACAAACAUAAAGAUAAUAUUCACUUGCAUGAAAAGACUAUGCACUAGAAAAAGAUUAGCCCUUCAUAUUUUCUGUAAUGUUGGCAUGUUGCAUUACUUGAAUAGUCAUUGUUUAUGAUAGAAUUAAAAUUGUUUAAGUUGUUUAUGACUGAAAACCUGCUCUUUAGUAGGGGUAUUAUCCGGUAAACUGGGGGUGUAGUAAAUAUAUGGGGGGUGUUAUAAAUAUAUGGGUGUUGAAAACGAAAGUUGGGGGUCUUAAAAUAUAGGGGUGUUUAGAUACAAAGUUGGGGUGUAUUUUAUAUAGGGGUGUUCCGCGAUAAACUGGGGGUGUAACGUAUAUUGGGGUGUUGUAUAAAGAAAGUGGGGGUGUUAACCAGGGGUGUACAGAAUAUAGGGGUGUUAAGAAAAAAGCNAAAUGACCCAUGCUUUAAGAAUUAUAUAGAUGUAUAUAUAUAUAUAUAUAUAUAUAUAUAUAUAUAGGGUAGCACUCCAUAACAUACCCUCUUAUAUGGAGUUACGUAGCACACCAUUAUAAAUAUAUACAUAAUAUAUAUUCUAUUAUUUUUUUUAUGAAAUAUAAUUGCAAAUUUUGAUUAUUAAACCGAAAACGAAGUCAUACAAUUUUUUUAUUCCAAAGAUCAUCUAAAUUUAUGCAAUAUCUCAACAUGAUUCUAUAACAGAAUAAUAAUCAUCCAGAAUUAUUUUAUUGUAGAAUCAGUUUCGAAAAUAUACUUUUUUAAUCAAAUUUUAAGUGUUAAAUUACUUAAAAUAGAUUUAUUUUAUAGUAUUCUAUAUUAGAAUCACGUUUUAUAUGUAUUCUAUAACAGAAUUUAUAAUAAAAUUGAUAAUUUAUAGUAGCGCACUAUGUAACUCCACAUAAGGAUUCUCUCUCUGGAAUGUUGGCCUAUUUAUAUAUANNNNNNNNNNNNNNNNNNNNNNNNNNNNNNNNNNNNNNNNNNNNNNNNNNNNNNNNNNNNNNNNNNNNNNNNNNNNNNNNNNNNNNNNNNNNNNNNNNNNNNNNNNNNNNNNNNNNNNNNNNNNNNNNNNNNNNNNNNNNNNNNNNNNNNNNNNNNNNNNNNNNNNNNNNNNNNNNNNNNNNNNNNNNNNNNNNNNNNNNNNNNNNNNNNNNNNNNNNNNNNNNNNNNNNNNNNNNNNNNNNNNNNNNNNNNNNNNNNNNNNNNNNNNNNNNNNNNNNNNNNNNNNNNNNNNNNNNNNNNNNNNNNNNNNNNNNNNNNNNNNNNNNNNNNNNNNNNNNNNNNNNNNNNNNNNNNNNNNNNNNNNNNNNNNNNNNNNNNNNNNNNNNNNNNNNNNNNNNNNNNNNNNNNNNNNNNNNNNNNNNNNNNNNNNNNNNNNNNNNNNNNNUGGAAUGGAAGGGGCGGUGGAGGCCGGAGGGGGGUUGGAUUUGGUGGUGAUAUAAAUAAUGGAGGCCGACAUGGAGGUGGUGGCUAUGGAGGGUCGGGCGGCAUGGAGGUGGAGAGAGUAGCAGAGACUUGGCGGGGGUGGUAGGGUGAAGCUGCCGGAAGUGGGGUGGAGGGUUGGUGGGUUGGAGAAGAAGAAGGAGAAAGUGGGGUUGUUUGAGAAUUUAGUGAUAUUCUCUUAGAAAUUUAGUGAUAGUUUCUAGUUUCUAGAAUAGGGAGGUUUCUAUUGGAGUAAAACUCUAUAUACAUAUAUAUAGUUUUACUCCAAUAGAAACCUCCUUAUCCUAGAAACUAAAAACCAAGCUGAAAUAUCACUAAAUCCUAAAGCAAAUACCACUAAAUUCUUAAACAACCCCAUCUCCACCUUCAUCUUCACCAAACCCACUUCCAUCUUCACCAACCCCACCUCCACUACCACCACCUCCGUCGUCGCCUCCUUCAUAACCACUACUACCUCUAUGCCGCCCGCCCCCUCCAUAACCACCACCUCCAUCUCCACCUCCACCUCCACCUCUAUUAUUUCCCUAACAACACAACCUCCACACCUCCAUCUUCACCAACCCCAUCUUAAUAGAUGCUUCAACCUCCUUCAACUUCGUUCAUACUUCUUUCUCCACCCCGACUCAACUUCAAACGCGAAGCCGCCACUAUUCCGGCAACACUCCAACCCCCCACUUCAAGCCGCCCAAACCUCCGCUAGAAUCAUCCUUCCUCCAUCUCCACCUUCACCUCCACCAUCUCCACCACUAUCACCACCAUCUGAAUCGAAAACAUGAACAGAUCUGGAGAUUCUAAGCUGGAACAUAUCUGGAGAUUAAGUUUUCACUAAUUCCUGCAACACAGAUCACUAAAUCCCAAGGAGAAUAUCACUAAAUUGUACUGAGAAUAUCACUAACUUGUAUUGGUUUCUAGUUUUUAUUUUAAUAUUGGUUUCUAUUUGAUCAUGAGCCUAUAUAUAUAUAGGGUGCUAAUCUUGUACAAACUGUUUUAUUGUACAAACUACAAACUAGGCCCAACCCGACAACUUAGCUCUCGGCCCAGUUAGCGUUCGGCCCACUUUCUGAUUACAACACGACUACGACUAGUCUGAAAAAACAAAAAAGAAAUUUAAAUACAGACAGAAGAAACCAUAGACAGGCAUAUAGACACAAAACAGUUACACUCAUCGCUCCUCUUACUGUUCAUCUCUCUCAAACACAAGGUAUAAUCACUGCUAAACUUGCUUCUAAUUUUCGAUUUCUCACCGUUUUUGCAAUUAUUACAUGUUUAACUCGUUCGUUUUGAACAUAUUUUGCAAAAACAGGGGAAAUCGCAGUGGAGAUCAGCCUCGUACUCAAUCGGAACGAUAUCAGCUUCAAAUUCUUCAAAUAGGUACAAUACUAUAUUCCGAGUCUCGUAUUGUAGUUAUAACUUUGUUACUUUGUGAUUGCAUGUUAGUGCGAGUCAGUUUUUUAGGGUUUUAGUAAUCGAUCUUAUGAAAAACUAACAUAUAAUGUUUAUGUGUUCUCAUAGCAGCAACUAGUUGUCUAUAUAACUCUGAAAGCAAAAAAUUAUGGCUAGGACUAGAGGAGGUAUGUUAUUUAGGGUUUUGUAAUUUUUUGUUUUUAUUUUGCUUAAUUUGUGCUGUUAUUACUGCUCUUAUUUAUGUAGAAAUUGUUUCCUCUUUGAUUUGCAUUAUAUAUGAUUUAUGAUUUGAUUUCGUGUUGAAUACUGAUUAGAGUUUAUAAUGUUUAUGAUUUAUGAUUACUGAUUAGAGUUUACGAUUAGAAAUGUUUAUGGUAUUUUGGACCAUAUAGAAUAUUGGAGUCUGGUUGAUACAUUAGAUUUGUGUACGUAUGUAUAAUUGUGUAGUUAGCUGCAUAUAUUGUACUCUAGUUAGCUGCAUACUCUGUAGUUAGCUAAAUAUAGUCAUAAAUAAAAAACAUGAUACAGGUGCAGCUAGAUAUAGUACUCUUUAUGUAUAAUUUGUGAUUGAUGUAUAAAAUAUUAAUGGUUGAUGCUUUAUAAAUUAGAGAUUAAUGCCUAAUAUAAUUGUGUUUGCAGAUGUAUGCUAAUAUAAAAUAUUAAUAUAAUUGUGUUUGCAGAUGCCUAAUAUAAAAUAUUAAUGGUUGAUGCUUUAUAAAUUAGAGAUUAAUGCCUAAUAUAACAUUAGACCUGUGUACAUGUGUAUAAUUGUGUUUGCAGAUGUAUGCUAAGAAAUAAAUGGUGGGGGAUUUGUUGUUCUGUGUUGUGCAUAAAAUCCUUCGUCUCUCUUGUGUGUAAAGUAUAUAUGAUUAGUGACUCUCUCAUGUCCACAUUGCAUAUAAUACUAUUGUUUAUCUUCUGGAAUUACAUAUUAUGGUACAUCUCUGUUCAUAUCUAGAUAGCAUUAAGUUGCAUCUAGCCACGUAUCCCUCUGGCCACGUAUCCAUAACGGGGUGGGACUGAUUUGUACCUUGUAGCGUGGCGAGGCAUGAGAGACAAAAGGGGUGUGUGUUGCCCCCUGCUGAAGUUGACUCUUAUCAUUAUACACAUAAGAUUGUUCUAAUUAUUACUACUAGGCAUUAUCCACACCUUAAUCUUCUGUCUUUCAAUGUAUGUUCACCAUCAUAAUCAGAUUUCAUCAAUUACUUAAUCAUGAUAUUAUUUGGUAGUUUUUUAUUUAUAAAUUACUAAUUAUAUGAUUAAUGCCUUAUAAAUUAGUGAUUACUAAUAUAUGCAUCGAUAUUUUUUAGAAACUAUCCACUCUUGCUUCAAGUUUUAUUAGUGAUUAACAUAUUUGAUGUUGGUAUUAUAUUCGUUUAUGGCUUUCUAGAAAAAAUAAUAUUACUAGUUCAAUAGCUAUGUACAUAUAUUCUUUACUUAACGCCUCUGCAAGAAAAAAAAUUCAGGACAUAGAGUGCAACUGCGAAGAAGUUCAAGACUACAACGUUGUAAGACAACCUUCAGCAAUACAAUAAACGAUCCAAUUAACCUUGAAGAAUCUCCAGUUGAUAGGACUAUGGAACAUGACGAGCACACCAGUACUCCGAACAAAUCUGAAGGAAGUGCACCAGAAAAAUUUAAGCGAUUACGGCACAAAGUGACAGCUGGAAAACUAUUUCACUCUGAUGUGUAUAUCUCUACUCUGUAAUUUGUCUUUUCUGAUUAUUAUAAAUACACUUCUUGCUUCCAUAUUAUAAACUUCUUGAUUAUUAUAAAGUGACAUGAGAGAUUGUCUACCUCUUGUUUUCAUAUUCACUAAAUUAAAAACAUUGGCUGAUUUUAAGUUGUCAAUUUUGUGACAGGAGGAUGAGCAAGAGUCAUAUUCAAUUCUAGAAUUAUAUAGGACUGAAUAUGAAGCUGGACAACUUGAAAAGCAAGCUGCACAACUUGAAAAUCAAGCUGACAAACUCAACCACAAGAUCAAGCAGCACAAACUCAACCACAUGAUCAAGCUCCACAAGAUCAAGAUACAGAACCACAAGAUCAAGCUGCACAAGAUCAAGAUACAGAACCACAAGAUCACAAUCAAGCUGAAGAUGAUCGAGAUCACAAUCAAGAUGAACAGGAAUCUCAAGAAGAAGCUCAAAAUGAACAUGAAUCUCAAAAUGAACAAAAAGCUGACAAUGUAAAAGUUAGGAAGUGGAAAAGAAAAAAGACUGAAGGGGUACAUACUUUAUUUCAAUUUAGUAUCUUAUACUUUUAGUAUAUUAGUGAUCUCAAUACUUUUGAUAUUGUACACUUUUAGUAUAUUUAGAUUUUGUAAUCACUAAUAUAUUAGUGAUAUAAAAGUAUGUUAUACUUUUAGUAUAUUAAGAUUUCUUGAUAUAUAUGUGAUCUCAUACUUUUAGUAUCUUAUAUUUUUAGUAUAUUAGUGAUCACUAAUAUACUAAAAAUAUGAUACAUCAACUACACUUUUUCGUAAUCACUAAUAUAUCAUUAACGAUCUACUAAAAAUAUGAUACAUUAACUACUAAUAUAUCAUUAACGAUCUACUAAAAAUAUGAUACGUUAACUACACUUUUUCGUAAUCACUUUUAUGAUAUAGGUGGAUACACACAAUGCUCGUGAUCAUCCUGUAACAAAAAGGCCAAACAUUAAGCUGCC